rnacentral:rRNA from 1 species
AAUUUUUUCCAAUGGGGGAAACCUUGAUCUACCCAUGCCGCGUGGGGGGAGAGAGCCUUUGGUUUGUAAAGCCCUUUUUUUUGGGAAAAGAUCCUUCCCGUUAAUACCCCGCGGGGAUGACGGUACCCGAAGAGUAAGCCCCGGCUAAAUUUGUGCCAGCAGCCGCGGUAAUACGAAGGGUGCGAGCGUUAUUCGGAAUUUUUGGGGGUAAAGCGUGCGCAGGGGGUUUUUUAAGUCUGAUGUGAAAGCCCCCGGCUCAACCCGGGAAAUGCACUGGAAACUGGGGGACUUGAGUGUGGGAGAGGGGAGGGGAAUUUUCGGUGUAGCGGUGAAAUGCGUAGAGAUCGGGAGGAACACCCGUGGGGAAGGCGGCCUCCUGGGCCCACACUGACACUGAGGCGCGAAAGCGUGGGGAGCAAACAGGAUUAGAUACCCCGGUAGUCCACGCCCUAAACGAUGAGAACUAGAUGUUAGGUUCAAUUUGGCCCUCAGUAUCGAAGCUAACGCGUAAGCUCUCCGCCUGGAGACG